GGGAGUGAAAUAGAACCUGAAACCCUGCACUUACAAGCUGUGGAAGCACAUUUCUUGUGUGACCGCGUACUUUUUGUAGAACGGGCCAACGAGUUACGUUAAGUAGCAAGGUUAAGCACUUAAGGUGCGGAGCCGUAGCGAAAGCGAGUUUUAACUGAGCGUUCAGUUACUUGACGUAGACCCGAACCCGGGCGACCUACCCAUGAGCAGGAUGAAGCGAAAGUAAAAUUUCGUGGAGGUCCGAACCCACGAGCGUUGAAAAGCUCGGGGAUGACUUGUGGGUAGCGGUGAAAUUCCAAUCGAGCCCGGAGAUA
rnacentral:rRNA from 1 species